UGCCAUUGUUUAAUAUUCACAUAGACCAAGGUGAGCGACACAGGCUCUUUAGUUUAAUAUUGACCUGUAACAUAUACACCCCACUUUCUUCAAACAUUUGAAUUAAUUUUGAAGAAAUGAUCAAACUACCCAACAAACUUGGAAAGCAAGUUCACUAAUGUUUUGUUGAAUAUGCAUUUGAAAAAAGUUUGGAGCUGUCUUAUGUGGUUUGGUUAUUGUACAUUUGUUACAAGAAAAGCUUAAACCUACUGUUAUUAUCAAAGAUUGGGAUAAGAAAUUUGUAGGUUUUUUGUGAAGAAAAUUGCCCAUCUCAUUUUUACUUUUUUGAAACAUGUUUUCAAGAAAUGUUAUAGAUUAUGUAAAUGAGAACUCGUGUGUCAACAGAUUAUGUAAAUGAGAACUCAUGUGUCAACAGAUUAUGUAAAUAGAACUCAUGUGUCAACAGAUUAUGUAAAUGAGAACUCAUGUAUGUAAAUGAGAACUCUUAUGUCAACAGAUUAUGUAAAUGAGAACUCAUGUGUCAACAUAUUAUGUAAAUGAGAACUCAUGUGUCAACACUCCUUAUAUGAAACUGUAAGACUUGUAUCUUUAUUCAUGUUUUAUUUUAUGUACAAUACAGAAAAUAAAUCAUGUUUUACUGUCAUUAGUUAACUUGUUAUUAACCUAGUUAUCUGGAUAACAACACUACGAGAAAGGUUAGUAAAACAGAUACAAUUGGGCAGUUACAAAUUAUAAUCAAAAGAAUAACUGACAAUAUGAUGACAAAAAGUGAAGAUGAGCAGACAAAAAAUAGUCCAAAUAAAAUUGACACAAACCAUGAAAAUAACGAGGUCAAAUUUUUUAGGAGGCAUGUCCAUAAAAAAGAUGAACCAAAGAAUUCAAAUUUAAUGUAAUAUAGUACAAGUGUAUUGUUUAAA
rnacentral:lncRNA from 1 species